rnacentral:lncRNA from 1 species
AACAUAUUAUGUGUCAGUGCGUAAAUGCAAUUAAUCUACUGUGUCAUGAUCUUUUAGAUGUGCUCAAAUGGACACAAAGUAUGGGUGUGGAAUUCACAGCCCACACUUCUAGUACAACUAGUACAUAAUUCCUGUGGUUAAUUGCUACUUUAGUCCGUUUCAUAAAAACUUUUAUAUAUGUUUUUGUUGUAGAUUUUCUUUAUUUAUAAAAAUAUUUUUCACAAAUAUAGCAAUCUUUCAAUGUUUGUUUAUUGUUAAUACUAUGCUUGUUCAUCAUUUAUAGUGUAUAUCAAUGAUCAUUUACAGAUUUAUUGUGUCCUGUACAGCAGAUGGGCGAAUAGACAGUCCUGGCUACUGUGCCCAGUAUUGCUCCUACACUGCCAUGGAGAAUGAUUCAAAAGAAAUCAUCUCAGUUGUUACCAUCGAUAAGAGGCAGACCGCAAGCAAUUCUGUGAUCAUGGAGAAAGAGGCUUUUGUCACGACCAAGGACAAGCUUCUUGGUGAAGUUAAGAUGGCAGAAAUUUGCACUGAUGCUCACACACAAAUUGCCUCCGUUAUGAGUAAGUUUGAAUGAUUGAAACCACAACCAGAAAAGGCUUUUGAUAUAUUACACAUGUGAACAGUAUGAUUUGUAAGCUGCUCUUAUCUCCCUUGUAAGAUAAAACAACUGGUCGCUAUAAAGAGAAAGGAAUUGUCCACUCAUGGGGCAUAUGGCAUGGGGCAAAGAAUUUAGCCAAGAUGAUCUCUGCGGCAGCACAGCAAACUGGACAAAAGAUCCUUCUCCACUGGUUAAAAGACAUUGUAAAUCACUUUUGGUUCUGCUGCAAGACGGCAGACAUGGAGCAACAGUUCAUUAUCGACCUGUCAUCUUGAGGCGUUCCAUAACCACUUGCUUAUGUGGUUCAGCUCUUCACCAAUGGUGUACGAGGCAAGAACUCUCCUGGCAGCCCUGGAUUACAACCACCGUAAAGAUAGACCACCACUGCUAAACAAAAAAGGGGAAAAGAUCUAUCGUCGAGUGUUUAAAAAAAAAACAGGAAGAUGGACGGUAUAUGCUAUGAAGGUGAACAAAGACUACAGCUACAUACCAGAUCUACAGGCAGCAAUUCUGCAUGAAAGACUACAGGCUGACAAGGGGAUGCCAAAGCGUCAGACUCUAAGGCCAGAGGAUCCACGGAGACUGGGCCUUAUUCCAAAAGUCCCACCUCCACCAAUUGACACUAUUCUUGAGUCCCAUGUGAAUAGAGGGAAAGAAGCCAUUCCUACACUAUGUGAGACGGAUGAGCCCUGA